AGAACGAACGCUGGCGGCGUGCUUAACACAUGCAAGUCGAGCGGAAAGGCCCUUCGGGGUACUCGAGCGGCGAACGGGUGAGUAACACGUGAGUAAUCUGCCCCUAGCUCUGGGAUAGCUCCGGGAAACCGGGAUUAAUACCGGAUAUGACCACUUUAGACAUCUGCUGUGGUGGAAAGAAUUUCGGCUAGGGAUGAGCUCGCGGCCUAUCAGCUUGUUGGUGGGGUAACGCCUACCAAGGCGAUGACGGGUA
rnacentral:rRNA from 1 species